rnacentral:lncRNA from 1 species
UAUCAAUCCCAACUUGAGUCGAACUGAAUCUAAUUCAAUUAGACUUAUUCCCAAGCUCUUUACUCAAUCAAAUUGAGUUAAUUAGUAAUCUAAUUACUAAUUAUUCUCUAUAAAUGAUAGAGUCUCAGUCUCAGUGAGACUCUCCCACAGAGUCCUAGUCCAAGUAGGACUCUUCACCAGAGUCAUAAUCCAAUUAAACUCUUCAGCCAU